GGUUCUAUGGUAUAAUGGUUAGCACUCUGGACUCUGAAUCCAGCGAUCCGAGUUCAAAUCUAGGUAGGACAU
rnacentral:tRNA from 1 species